CUCUCUCUCUCUCUCUCUCUCUCUCUCUCUCUCUCUCUCUCUCUCUCUCUCUCUCUCUCUCUCUCUCUCUCACUCUCUCUUUCCCCCUGUGCUCUCUCACUCUCUCUUUCCCACCGUGCUCUCUCUCUCUCUCUCUCUCCCCCUGUGCUCUCUCACCUCUCUCUACCGCUCUCUUCCCUCUGUGCUCCCCCUCCUCCCUCUCUCCCUUUCUGUCUAUCUUUCCCUCUGCCUCUCCAUGCCUGUUUCUCUUCCUGAUCUCUAAAGAUCCUGUAACAAUGUAGUCCUGGCAGAAUGAGCAGACAGUGAUGAUGAGAUUGACUGGCAGGCUACUAUGGUCAGGUGUGGAGCGAGCAGACUCAGGGAAUUCUAGGUAACUCCACAGAACAUAUAGAUACAUUACUAUGUAGAUACAUUACUAUAUAGAUACAUUACUAUAUAGAUACAUUACUGUAUAGACACUGUACAUUACUGUGUAGGUACAUUACUGUAUAGAUACUGUACAUUACUGUAUAGAUACAUUACUGAAUAGGUACAUUACAGUAUAGAUACAUUACUGUAUAGGUACAUUACUGUAUAGAUACUGUACAUUACUGUAUAGAUACAUUACUGUAUAGACACUGUACAUUACUGUAUAGAUAAAUUACUGUAUAGACACUGUACAUUAUUGUAUAGAUACAUUACUGUAUAGAUACAUUACUGUAUAGAUACUGUACAUUACUGAAUAGGUACAUUACUGUAUAGGUACAUUACUGUAUGGUACAUUACUGUAUAGACACUGUACAUUACUGUAUAGAUACAUUACUGUAUAGAUACUGUACAUUACUGUAUAGAUACAUUACUGUAUAGAUACAUUACUGAAUAGGUACAUUACAGUAUAGAUACAUUACUGUAUAGGUACAUUACUGUAUAGAUACUGUACAUUACUGUAUAGAUACUGUACAUUACUGUAUAGAUACAUUACUGUAUAGGGGGGUCUGGCACAUUUGUAUAAAUGUGUGCAGUUUGUGUGUGUGUGUGUGUGUGUGUGUGUGUGUGUGUGUGUGCGUGUGUGGGUGUGUGCAUGUGUCUGCAGGUGCCCUUGAUGGCUGAGUGAACCCCAUUCACCUGAGACCCCCUGCCGUUAGCCCCUCUCCCCAAUCCAGAAGCCCCCUACCACCCACCCCGUACCUUCAGAUCAAUACCAAUUUAUAGGCAAAUGCAGAAAGGCUGACUUGCAGGUUUAAUGAAUGGAAGCAUUGUUAAGGUCAGUCUUCUGAUGAAGGUUCUGAGAGGGGUGUUCAGUAAACAUGUUGGCGGGGGAGCCUGUGUGUGUGUGUGUGUGUGUGUGUUGUCCGGCUGGUGGGGUGGUGGCCGUGCAGUGUGGCUGCUGCAGGCAGUGUCCGGCUGGUGGGGUGGUGGCCGUGCAGUGUGGCUGCUGCAGGCAGUGUCCGGCUGGUGGGGUGGUGGCCGUGCAGUGUGGCUGCUGCAGGCAGUGUCCGGCUGGUGGGGUGGUGGCCGUGCAGUGUGGCUGCUGCAGGCAGUGUCCGGCUGGUGGGGUGGUGGCCGUGCAGUGUGACUGCUGCAGGCAGUGUCCGGCUGGUGGGGUGGUGGCCGUGCAGUGUGGCUGCUGCAGGCAGUGUCCGGCUGUUCCCUGGUAGCUGAAUCAGCGAUUGAGAGUUUAGAGAUGCAGAAAGAAGAGAAGAGGAGGGUCAUGGGAGCAGCUGCUUCUCUCACACCGGAUGGGAGGAAGAGGAUGAGAGGAUGAAAACAAGGAUGAAGGGCGGCAACAAAAAAAGCCCAAUAGAAAAUGGAAAGACUUCAACCCUUCUUAUAAGAGGACUUUAUAUAAACUGAUGAUGUGGCAUUCAAAUGCGUCAACUCACAGCCGCCCAUCCCUCCCUACCUGGCCAUGCAAAGUUGGACGGAGAAUGCCUCAUCAAAUAGAAGGAGCAGAGAAUGUGGACUGUGUGCUGACAGAGCUGAAGGACAGAUCGAGAAGAUGACCAAUCAUAUUACACAGAGCCGCCUUGCAUCCAGAGGUCACCGCAACACAGGCUUCUAUCAGUCAUAUUACACAGAGCCGCCGUGCAUCCAGAGGUCACCGCAACACAGGCUUCUAUCAAUCCUCCAAAGUACCAAUGCAUAAAAAAAUAUAUGUUUCUAUCCAAUCAGAGGAAGAAGAAGAAGGGAAAAAAAGGUAAUGAAAACAUUUAGAAGGACAACCCUGUCACCUGAUGAUGACCUGGAAGAGUGGAUGAAUACAUAAACAUUGAUGUUGAAAUUAAAAGUGGAAAAGUAGACAUCAUGAAAAAAACGAUAUGGACAAACUCUGGGAGAGAAUGGAAGGUCAGCGUGGUCGGAGUAAACCCCCACCGUCCCGGAGCUUAUAUACCCAGAUGCAGCUGUCCCAGGGGAACAUUAAUCUAGCUGGCUGUUGAAAUGGCUUUAGAGAUGAAUGUUUUAUCUGCAUUACCAGGUGCCAGAAGAAAAGCAAUAGAUACAGUCUACAGAUCCCCACACACAACGCUCACUCUACUUCAGACACUUUUCCAUCUCGGAGAGGGAGCGUUCUCAUCUCAGCCAGUCUGAGGAUGAAAAAACUGUGAAAAGAGAAAAGUAAUGGUCAUUGUAAUGGUAAUGAUGAUGUAACGAUGAUGCUGAUGGAGAUGGUAAUGAUG
rnacentral:lncRNA from 1 species